GGGACAACCUUGGACUCAAUCCUGUGCUCACUGACUAUAUGUAUGUAAUGAAAUGUUCUGGAACCGACAAGUUUUCAGAUGGUGAGUUGCAGCCUUUUGGGAACAUUGAAUUGAAUCCAUUCUCUUCUGUCUUGAACUAUGGCCAGGGAAUUAUUGAAGGUUUGAGAGCAUUCAAGAAAGAAGAUGACUCUGUUUUGUUAUUUCGUCCUGAGGCAAAUGGGCUGCGAAUGAGAGUGGGAGCAGACAGGAUCUGCAUGCCUGCGCCAACCAUUGAUCAGUUUGUGCGAGCUGUCAAAGCUACUGUUUCAGCAAAUAGACGAUGGGU
rnacentral:misc_RNA from 1 species